GAUGAACGCUGGCGGCGUGCCUAAUACAUGCAAGUCGAGCGAACAGACGAGGAGCUUGCUCCUCUGACGUUAGCGGCGGACGGGUGAGUAACACGUGGAUAACCUACCUAUAAGACUGGGAUAACUUCGGGAAACCGGAGCUAAUACCGGAUAAUAUAUUGAACCGCAUGGUUCAAUAGUGAAAGACGGUUUUGCUGUCACUUAUAGAUGGAUCCGCGCCGCAUUAGCUAGUUGGUAAGGUAACGGCUUACCAAGGCGACGAUGCGUAGCCGACCUGAGAGGGGGAUCGGCCACACUGGAACUGAGACACGGUCCAGACUCCUACGGGAGGCAGCAGUAGGGAAUCUUCCGCAAUGGGCGAAAGCCUGACGGAGCAACGCCGCGUGAGUGAUGAAGGUCUGCGGAUCGUAAAACUCUGUUAUUAGGGAAGAACAAAUGUGUAAGUAACUAUGCACGUCUUGACGGUACCUAAUCAGAAAGCCACGGCUAACUACGUG
rnacentral:rRNA from 1 species